rnacentral:misc_RNA from 1 species
GAUGAAGAACGUAGCGAAAUGCGAUACGUAAUGUGAAUUGCAAAUUCAGUGAAUCAUCGAGUCUUUGAACGCACAUUGCGCCCCCUGGUAUUCCGGGGGGCAUGUCUGUCCGAGCGUCAUUGCUGCCCUCAAGCACGGCUUGUGUGUUGGGCCCCGUCCUCCGAUCCCGGGGGACGGGCCCGAAAGGCAGCGGCGGCACCGCGUCCGGUCCUCGAGCGUAUGGGGCUUUGUCACCCGCUCUGUAGGCCCGGCCGGCGCUUGCCGAUCAACCCAAAUUUUUAUCCAGGUUGAACUCGGAUCAGGUAGGGAUACCCGCUGAACUUAAGCAUAUCAAUAAGCGGAGGA